rnacentral:rRNA from 1 species
UGGCGAACGGGUGAGUAACACGUGGGUGAUCUGCCCUGCACUUCGGGAUAAGCCUGGGAAACUGGGUCUAAUACCGGAUAGGACGAUGGUUUGGAUGCCAUUGUGGAAAGUUUUUCGGCGUGGGAUGAGCUCGCGGCCUAUCAGCUUGUUGGUGGGGUAAUGGCCUACCAAUGCGUCGACGGGUAGCCGGCCUGAGAGGGUGUACGGCCACAUUUGGACUGAGAUACGGCCCAG